rnacentral:rRNA from 1 species
UGCAAGUCGAACGGANAGGCCCGCUUGCGGGUACUCGAGUGGCGAACGGGUGAGUAACACGUGGGCAACCUGCCCCUGGCUCUGGGAUAACAUUUGGAAACAGGUGCUAAUACCGGAUAUUGACUUUCCGCCGCAUGGUGGUUUGUUGAAAGUUUUUUCGGCUGGGGAUGGGCCCGCGGCCUAUCAGCUUGUUGGUGGGGUGAUGGCCUACCAAGGCGACGACGGGUAGCCGGCCUGAGAGGGCGACCGGCCACACUGGGACUGAGACACGGCCCAGACUCCUACGGGAGGCAGCAGUGGGGAAUAUUGCGCAAUGGGCGGAAGCCUGACGCAGCGACGCCGCGUGAGGGAUGACGGCCUUCGGGUUGUAAACCUCUUUCAGCAGGAACGAAUUUGGACGGUACCUGCAGAAGAAGCACCGGCUAACUACGUGCCAGCAGCCGCGGUAAA